rnacentral:rRNA from 1 species
UCCCAGACUCCUACGGGAGGCAGCAGUGGGGAAUAUUGCACAAUGGGGGGAACCCUGAUGCAGCGACGCCGCGUGAGUGAAGAAGUAUUUCGGUAUGUAAAGCUCUAUCAGCAGGGAAGAAAAUGACGGUACCUGACUAAGAAGCCCCGGCUAACUACGUGCCAGCAGCCGCGGUAAUACGUAGGGGGCAAGCGUUAUCCGGAUUUACUGGGUGUAAAGGGAGCGUAGACGGCAGUGCAAGUCCGGAGUGAAAGCCCGGGGCUCAACCCUGGGACUGCUCUGGAAACUGUAAAGCUGGAGUGCGGGAGGGGCAGGCGGAAUUCCUGGUGUAGCGGUGAAAUGCGUAGAUAUCAGGAGGAACACCGGCGGCGAAGGCGGCCUGCUGGACCGUAACUGACGUUGAGGCUCGAAAGCGUGGGGAGCAAACAGGAUUAGAUACCCCUGUA